rnacentral:rRNA from 1 species
UACGUAGGGGGCAAGCGUUGUCCGGAUUUACUGGGCGUAAAGAGCGUGUAGGCGGCCAAGCAGGUCCGUUGUGAAAACUCGAGGCUCAACCUCGAGAUGUCGGCGGAAACCGUCUGGCUAGAGUCCGGAAGAGGAGAGUGGAAUUCCUGGUGUAGCGGUGAAAUGCGCAGAUAUCAGGAAGAACACCUAUGGCGAAGGCAGCUCUCUGGGCCUUACCUGACGCUGAGGAGCGAAAGCGUGGGAGCGAACAGG